rnacentral:rRNA from 1 species
AGGACGAACGCUGGCGGCGUGCUUAACACAUGCAAGUCGAGCGGAAAGGCCCUUCGGGGUACUCGAGCGGCGAACGGGUGAGUAACACGUGAGCAACCUGCCCUUAGCUCCGGGAUAGCUCCGGGAAACCGGAAUUAAAUACCGGAUAUGACCUAGGCCGACAUCGGCUGUGGUGGAAAGUUUUUUCGGCUGGGGAUGGACUCGCGGCCUAUCAGCUUGUUGGUGGGGUAAUGGCCUACCAAGGCGACGACGGGUA